rnacentral:lncRNA from 1 species
CAGAGAGAGAUCUUAUUGAUGGUAACUCUCAGCCCAGCAGGUUCCAGCAGAGCACAGAGAUGUGCGGCUCCUGAUGAGAGCAGCGAGGAACAGAAACCUGCAUUGCCUGGACCCAGCUUUGCUGAUGGUAACUCUCAGCCCAGCAGGGCCCUUAUAUUCCCUGGCUGAUGGAUGUUCCCCUUUGAUGCAGCACUCCAUGCUGCCAUGCAGGCGUUCAAUAAAGCUUUGGGGGGCUGACGAUCCAUCACAACAGCACAUCAGCUACAUAUGCUGUAAUUGUACCUUGUGCCAUGCAAUGUACUGUAUAUUUGGAUGCUGCGUCUGUCAACUGUGCCGUGCCCUGUACUCAACAUGUGGAUGCUGUGCCUGUAACCCGGGAUGGACAAUUUGCUGUGCAUAUGGAUGUUGUACAUGUAAAAUGUAUUGCACAAUGUGCUCUAUGUGUUGAUGUGAUGGUUGAACAUUGUGCUGUGCCAUGUUCUCAAUGUAUCAAUGCUGUGCCUGUAAACUGUGUUGUGCUCUGUAUUGACUGUGCUGAUGUUUGUACUCAAUACUGGGAUCUUGUGAGUUGUAUCUUGUGCUAUUUGCACUGCAUAUCUGGAUGUUGUGCCAUGAACUGAACUGCUGUAUCCACUUUGUGCUUGUAAAUAUGAUGUUGUUGCUGUAUUGUGUUUGUACUAUUGUAUGAGUUGUGUAUUGUGUUGAUGGAGCUGUAAUAAAGAAACAAUUAAUCUAUGUGGUGUGUCA